rnacentral:rRNA from 1 species
AAUGGCUGCAGUAAUAUAACUGUACAAAGGUAGCAUAAUCAUUAGUUUUUUAAUUAAAAGCUUGUAUGAAAGGUUGGACGAAGUAAAAUCUGUCUCUUUUUAAUAUAAUUAGAAUUUAAUUUUUAAGUAAAAAAGCUUAAAUUUAUAUAAAAGACGAGAAGACCCUAUAGAGUUUAAUAAUUUAUUUUAAAUAAUUAAUUUAGAUUUAUUUAUUUUAUUUAUUAUAUAAUUGUUUUAUUGGGGUAAUAAAAAGAUUAAUAUAAUUCUUUUUUUUAUAUAACAUUAAUAUAUGAAUUAAAUGAUCCAUUUUUUAUGAUUAAAAGAUUAAAUUACCUUAGGGAUAACAGCGUAAUUUUUUUAAAGAGUUCAUAUCGAUAAAAAAGUUUGCGACCUCGAUGUUGGAUUAAAGAUUAAUUUAGGUGUAGAAGUUUAAAUUUUUGGUCUGUUCGACCAUUAAAUCUUUACAUGAUCUGAGUUCAAACCGGUGUAAGCCAGGUUGGUUUCUAUCUUUAUAAAAUUUUUAUAUUUUAGUACGAAAGGACCAAAUAUUUAAUAUAUAAAUAUUUAAUUAUUUUGAAUAU